CCUAAGCAGGUUUUGGGCUGUUGGUGCGGAGUCCUAUGUGGCGCUCGAUCCCACGAACCGUGAGACCAUGACCUGAGCCGAAAUCAAGAGUCGGACGCUGAGCCCACUGAGCCACCUAGGCGUCCCGCCACAUUUCUUUCUUAACUAGUGGAGGGUGUUUUGUUUUUGUUUUGAAGAAUUACAGGUAGAGCCACGAUUUCAUCCUAGUGGAAGGACAUAUCGUCCACCAGUCCUCAGGCGGCUUGAGUUCCCUGCUCUAGGAAACGGAAACAAGGACCACUUUCCAUUCUGCAGUGAUUCGGAAGUUCAGAGCAGUGAUGUCUGACACAACUUCCCUCCAUGAGUCCCCAGCCUCCCACGUGACAGCAAAGAACUGCAAACCAAUGGAUCACCCAAGAAAUGGUGAAUAAUGUCCACUCGAAGACUUUAAUCAUUGACUUCAGAGCAACCUUGGACACGUAUGUCCAGGUUCAGGAGCAAGUGAGGAAGGACGGUAGCC